rnacentral:rRNA from 1 species
CGGCGGACGGGUGAGUAACACGUGAGUAGCUGUCCUAGGGAGGGGGAUAACGCCUGGAAACGGGUGCUAAAACCCCAUAAGCCUCGCAAGAGGUGAAAGUGUACUUGUUACAGCCUUAGGGUGUGCUCGCGGCCUAUCAGCUAGUUGGUGAGGUAAGGGCUCACCAAGGCUAAGACGGGUAGCCGGCCUGAGAGGGUGUACGGCCACACUGGAAUUGAGAUACGGUCCAGACUCCUACGGGAGGCAGCAGUGGGGAAUUUUGGGCAAUGGGCGAAAGCCUGACCCAGCGACGCCGCGUUGGGGAUGAAGUCCUUCGGGGCGUAAACCCAUGUUGUAGGGGAAGAAGAAAGUGACGGUACCCUACGAGAAAGCCCCGGCCAACUACGUGCCAGCAGCCGCGGUAAAACGUAGGGGGCGAGCGUUGUCCGGAAUUACUGGGCGUA